UACGUAGGCAGCAAGCGUUGUUCGGAAUUACUGGGCGUAAAGAGUGCGUAGGCGGUGCUCUAAGUCUGUUGUGAAAUCUCCCGGCUUAACUGGGAGGGUGCAGCGGAAACUGGAGUGCUUGAGGGUGGGAGAGGUAAGCGGAAUUCCUGGUGUAGCGGUGAAAUGCGUAGAUAUCAGGAGGAACACCUGUGGUGUAGACAGCUUACUGGACCACUUCUGACGCUGAGGCACGAAAGCGUGGGUAG
rnacentral:rRNA from 1 species